rnacentral:rRNA from 1 species
UACUCGAGUGGCGAACGGGUGAGUAACACGUGGGUGAUCUGCCCUGCACUUCGGGAUAAGCUUGGGAAACUGGGUCUAAUACCGGAUAGGAGCCAUCUUUAGUGCGGUGGUUGGAAAGUUUUUUCGGUGUAGGAUGAGCUCGCGGCCUAUCAGCUUGUUGGUGGGGUAAUGGCCUACCAAGGCGGCGACGGGUAGCCGGCCUGAGAGGGUGUACGGCCACAUUGGGACUGAGAUACGGCCCAG